GAUGAAGAACGCAGCGAAAUGCGAUAAGUAGUGUGAAUUGCAGAAUUCAGUGAAUCAUCGAAUCUUUGAACGCACAUUGUGCCCUUUGGUAUUCCAAAGGGCAUGCCUGUUCGAGCGUCAUUUGUACCCUCAAGCUUUGCUUGGUGUUGGGCGUCUUGUCUCUAGCUUUGCUGGAGACUCGCCUUAAAGUAAUUGGCAGCCGGCCUACUGGUUUCGGAGCGCAGCACAAGUCGCACUCUCUAUCAGCAAAGGUCUAGCAUCCAUUAAGCCUUUUUUUCAACUUUUGACCUCGGAUCAGGUAGGGAUACCCGCUGAACUUAAGCAUAUCAAUAAGCGGAGGA
rnacentral:misc_RNA from 1 species